AUUAAAGAUUUUGGCGGUAUUUUAGUCCAUUCAGAGGAACCUGUCCUGUAAUUGAUAAUCCACGAUUUAAUUUACUUGUUUUUUUAGUUUGUAUAUCGUCGUGGGUUGAAUAUUUUAUAAGAAUUAUAAUGUUCAAUAAAUAUAAAUUUAUUUUAUGUCAGAUCAAGGUGCAGCUUAUGAAUAAGAAGAGAUGGGUUACAAUAAAAUUAUUUUUGGUUUAUUAGCUUUAAUGUUUUUAAUAAAUUGGAUUUGAAUGUAAUAUUUUUAAAUUUGUAGAUGUGAUUUUGGCUCUAAAAUAUGCACAUAUUGCCCGUCGCUCUCAUUUAAUAUGAGAUAAGUCGUAACAAAGUAGAUGUACUGGAAAGUGUAUCUAGAAAGAU
rnacentral:rRNA from 1 species